rnacentral:snRNA from 1 species
AUCACUUCUGGAUCUUUUGGCUAAGAUCAAGUGUAGUAUCUGUUCUAUUAGAGUAUGGAGGCAAACAUAUCAGUAUGUUGGAUUCUGGUUCUUUUAAUUCACUGACAAAGUAGUUGCAUUUCAAUGUAUGUUUUAUUAUGACUUAAA